rnacentral:rRNA from 1 species
CUCUGUGACUCCUACGGGAGCAGCAGUGGGAAUAUUGCACAAUGGGCGCAAGCCUGAUGCAGCAACGCCGCGUGAGCGAUGAAGGCCUUCGGGUCGUAAAGCUCUGUCCUCAAGGAAGAAUACAUGACGGUACUUGAGGAGGAAGCCCCGGCUAACUACGUGCCAGCAGCCGCGGUAAUACGUAGGGGCAAGCGUUAUCCGGAAUCACUGGGCGUAAAGGGGUGCGUAGGCGGUUUUCAAGUCAGGAGUGAAAGGCUAUGGCUCAACCAUAGUAAGCUCUUGAAACUGUUAAACUUGAGUGCAGGAGAGGAAAGUGGAAUUCCUAGUGUAGAGGUGAAAUUCGUAGAUAUUAGGAGGAACACCAGUGGCGAAGGCGACUUUCUGGACUGUAACUGACGCUGAGGCACGAAAGCGUGGGGAGCGAACAGGAUUAGAUACCCUGGUAG